GAUGAAGAACGUAGCGAAAUGCGAUAAGUAAUGUGAAUUGCAGAAUUCAGUGAAUCAUCGAAUCUUUGAACGCACAUUGCGCCCCCUGGUAUUCCGGGGGGCAUGCCUGUUCGAGCGUCAUUUCACCACUCAAGCCUCGCUUGGUAUUGGGCAACGCGGUCCGCCGCGUGCCUCAAAUCGACCGGCUGGGUCUUCUGUCCCCUAAGCGUUGUGGAAACUUUCGCUAAAGGGUGUUCGGGAGGCUACGCCGUAAAACAACCCCAUUUCUAAGGUUGACCUCGGAUCAGGUAGGGAUACCCGCUGAACUUAAGCAAAUCAAUAAGCGGAGGA
rnacentral:misc_RNA from 1 species